AUUGAACGCUGGCGGCAGGCCUAACACACGCAAGUCGAACGAGUGGCGGACGGGUGAGUAAUGUCUGGGAAACUGACCGCUGGAGGGGGAUAACUACUGGAAACGGUAGCUAAUACCGCAUACCAUCGGAUGAGCCCAGAUGGGAUUAGCUAGUAGGUGGGGUAAUGGCUCACCUAGGCGACGAUUCCUAGCUGGUCUGGUAUGAUGACCAGCCACACUGGAACUGGAACACGGUCCAGACCCCUACGGGAGGCAGCAGGGGGGAAUAUUGCACAAUGAGCGCAAGCCUGAUGCAUCCAUGCCGAGUGUAUGAAGAGGGCCUUCGGGUUGUAAAGUACUUUCAGCGAGGAGGCGUUACUGGCAGAAGAAGCAGCGGCUAGUUCCGUGCCAGCAGCCGCGGUAAUU
rnacentral:rRNA from 1 species